rnacentral:lncRNA from 1 species
CAAAAAUAAAACCCACAUGCUCUUCCAGGCUCCCUGGGUGGUGUCUGUUUAUUUUCUGAAAGUGAUCCUACAAGGACCAGGACUGCAGCCAAGGCUUCAUGAUGGAAGAAGGCAAGCAGAUCCAAAGGAUGAUUUCCCUGGUUGGCUCUUCAGGACCGCCCUCCAUCCUAAUCCUAGAUCUGUAAACUAUAUACAGGAAAAGAGAAUUGAUCCUGUGGUACCCAGCGCUGCAGAUACAGAGUGGACAAGCCCUAAAGAAAAUCCAUCGUUUCAAGCUAAUAUUUAGGACAGAGCUCCUGUCCAGAAGACAGUAUGGCAAAAAAAAUCUGUAUGCUUAAGUACACUGCAUGGAUGUGUCCACUGAACAAGGCAACCCUUAAUUUUGAGAAUGGCUGCAGUUUCGUUUCCUUUUCUUGAACGUCAAAGCUUUUUUUUGGGGGGGGGAAAGGGGGAUAUCAGCUUGUGUAGCUUAUUA